ensembl:lncRNA
CGUCAAUAGCCAGUGCGGGCAGAGAACGACUCAGGCCGUUCUCACCAACAGCGACUUCCUUCCUUCAUGAGGCACACGAAAGUGGCAGCUUCUGAAUCAAGAACUGCCGAGGAGGAGCCUCGUCACAGCCUCACCACGGGUGUCCUUGGUCUCCAGGCUUGGCUCGGAAGGUGCGGGGCCACAGUUCAGCCGUCAAGGAACUAAUUCCUGGCUUCUGCCCAGGCAAGAGGAAAACACUGCCAAUCUCAAUCUGUGAGUCCGUGGAAAUAGUGUCAGCAGAGCCCCAGGUAACAGAAGGUGUACCUAUCAGAAACGUGGAGAUGGUGAAUUUUCACGAAAUGAGCACACCCUUGUGAUUAGCACACUGAUGAAGAAAUAGAAAACGUGACCAAUACCGUGGAAACCCCCUCCUGCUGACUUAUUGAAUCACAAACUGCAUCUCUCUUACUUUGAGCAAGGGAAACCCACAAACCUUUCAAGAAAAGUGUGGCAGCAGAAGAUAACAUCAACGGGGACAGAAAAGGGUAGAAAUAUUAUAAAAUAAAAAUACCUUUCUUUGGACCUACAAGCAAGAAGCAGUAUGGGAAAACCACUCAGCUGUAAACACGGAGUACACUUUAAUCCCAGGGAGGAAUUAUGGGCUCAGAGGGCAGAAUAAAGAGCUGUCAGGAAUUGUUUGUGGAGACAUGGGCCUGAGACCUAAUCAAGGACCCAGCGGCACGUGCAGGGCUGGGCUUUGGAAUGGCUGUGCAUCUCCUGCGACCCCCUUUCGAGUGGGAGCAUCUACAGAGGUCAUCCCGUGCCGUCGCACGACUGCGAGCUGCACAGGCAGAGGGCAGGUCACUAGCUUUUGGAGCCCUGUGCCACCUGGUAGAAGUCUAAGACAGCCAUGCUAUGAGGAACUGCAAGCUUCCUUAGUCAAAAGCAGAGAUGGCAUGACAGGAGAAAUGCCUGGCCAGCCCCCAUUCCACACACCGCUAAUCCCACCAGACACUGUCGCCAGAGCUACUCAGCUGAGCCACUCCAAGUUCCUGAUUCACAAAACCCAUGAGAAAUGCUACUCAAGAGCUUUUGUUUUGAGAUGCUAAGUUUCAGAGUUAAUUAUUACAUAGCACUAGAAAGCUGGAGAAGAACUGACUCAUUGGAAAAGACCCUGAUGCUGGGAAAGAUUGAAGGCGGGAGGAGAAGGGGACAACAGAGGUUGAGAUGGUUGAAUGGCAUCACAAACUCGAUGGACAUGAGUUUGAGUAAACUCCGGGAGUUGGUGAUGGACAGGGAAGCCUGGCGUGCUGCAGUCCAUGGGGUCGCAAAGAGUCAGACACGACUGAGCGACUGAACUGACUGGCUGAGGGAGCUGGAAGAGAUUUUGAUCCCUGUUCAAAAAGUAAGAAAAAAUCGAAUCCUCUACUACAUUUAAACUAAACUAAAUCAAAAUAAAACAGCCUCAGGAAUGGUGGCUGAAAAACACUUCAAGUUUUAGAAAUGUAUUCUGGAACACAAGAGAUUUUGGUUGACUUAAUACACAUCAUCUGUAAUUUAAAGUUACCUGACUGCCUCACACUCCAAUUUACAACUAUGAGACAUAAUACCUG